rnacentral:lncRNA from 1 species
CUCAUGGUUGCGAACCUCUCUAGGGGAAAAAGUAGGAAAAGAGUGGGGAGGAUCGAUUUUACUGGGGCAACCGCCCUCCUCCCAUGCACCCUCCUGCAUCAACUACCCCUCCUCUCACAUCCUGUACUUUCCUGAGCUAGCCAUGCCAUGCCCUGUCCCGGUCGUAAUGCACCGUCUCCGCCCCGGCUAACGCUCACCCCUACGUCACCCUAUGCCACCCUAUGCCACCCUUUCCUACCCCACACUACCCUACGCUACCCCAUACCCUUCUCCUCUACCACCCUACCUUCCUACUCUGCCUAGCAUCGCCUCCGUACGGACCUUACACUUUUUAUUCUGCAAAAAUAUUCGGGAGACUUCCGAAUGACGAUGCUCUACCAUCUUUUACCAUCCCUUUCCAACUUAGACACAACCCUUUUCCACUUUCUUUACGCCUAUAUCAUACAUGCCUUUUUUUUUCUUCUUUUUUUCUUAUCUUUAUCAUCGUAAUUUGUCUUUUCUCGCGUCCAGUCACCGAUCAUCUCCUGUUCCUUCCUGAUCCGAUGUUCGUCCUUCGAACCUUCGUCCGAACCUUCCCGAGUGUCAGAGAAAUCUCCUAAAGAAAGAGCAACCAAUGGGAUCUUUCCUUUAUACCCUUGAUUAAUGCUCCAACAGGACGAAAGUGAGGAGUUGCCGUAAAGAUAUAACGAAACAAAAAAGAAGAAGAAAAAAAAAAACAUAGAAAUUUUCUUCGGCGAUUUUCCCUUUCGUUAUAAAGGGAUUCAAAACGGUAUUAAUUAUAUGUUGAUAUUAACAAUAAUUCUUUCAAUAUUAAAUUAGAAUUAUUUUGACGAGUAUAUACGAAAAGAAAUGUUCUUCAUUUCGAAACGUAAUUAUCAUUGGGGAUAAAUUUUUGGAAAAAAUGUAUAUGAUAAUUAUAUGAUAAGUAUAUGAUAAGAA